rnacentral:lncRNA from 1 species
UGGUCACAAGGGCAAGUCCCAGUUCCCAUCUCCAAUGAUCAUGUUACUUCUAGACCAGAAUAUUAUUCUUGUAGAUCAAACCUCACAUGAUCAAUUGAAAAUAAGAUACCAUCAAUAAAAAUAAGUACAUUUUUCUGCAAAUUUUUUAACAAAAAACAGGGCUUAUAGAGAAGCUUCUCAUCGAGGAAUUUUGGCAUCAUUGAAGCGAUGCUCUUGGAAACCUUGUUCUUGGAUUUCUUUGGAGGGACAUGACAUGGGUUCGAGAGAGAGAGAGAGAGAGAGAGAGAGAGANNNNNNNNNNNNNNNNNNNNAGAGAGAGAGAGAGAGAGAGAGAGAGAGAUGGUUGACAAAUUUGUAUGGUGCUUCGAGUGGAAGGAACGGACCUGAAGGUAGAACGCUGAGCUCACCAUUACUGCUUUCUUCCUCUCGCCACCUUUGUCCCAUCUUUGUUGAAAUGGUU